CAGCCGCCGCGGGAAUACGAAGGGGGCUAGCGUUGCUCGGAAUGACUGGGCGUAAAGGGCGCGUAGGCGGCGAUCAAAGUCAGGCGUGAAAUUCCUGGGCUCAACCUGGGGGCUGCGCUUGAUACUUGGUUGCUUGAGUGGGGAAGAGGGUCGUGGAAUUCCCAGUGUAGAGGUGAAAUUCGUAGAUAUUGGGAAGAACACCGGUGGCGAAGGCGGCGACCUGGUCCAUUACUGACGCUGAGGCGCGAAAGCGUGGGGAGCAAACAGGAUUAGAGACCCGUGUAGUCCCUGUCUCUUAUAC
rnacentral:rRNA from 1 species